AUUGAACGCUGGCGGCAGGCCUAACACAUGCAAGUCGAACGGUAACAGGAAGCAGCUUGCUGCUUUGCUGACGAGAGGCGGACGGGUGAGGAAUGUCUGGGAAACUGCCCGAUGGAGGGGGAUAACUACUGGAAACGGUAGCUAAUACCGCAUAACGGCGCAAGACCAAAGAGGGGGACCUUCGGGCCUCUUGCCAUCGGAUGUGCCCAGAUGGGAUUAGCUAGGAGGGGGGGUAACGGCUCACCAAGGCGACGAGCCCUAGCUGGUCUGAGAGGAUGACCAGCCACACUGGAACUGAGACACGGUCCAGACUCCUACGGGAGGCAGCAGUGGGGAAUAUUGCACAAUGGGCGCAAGCCUGAUGCAGCCAUGCCGCGUGUAUGAAGAAGGCCUUCGGGUUGUAAAGUACUUUCAGCGGGGAGGAAGGGAGUAAAGUUAAUACCUUUGCUCAUUGACGUUACCCGCAGAAGAAGCACCGGCUAACUCCGUG
rnacentral:rRNA from 1 species